UAGCCCUAUUUAAUUCAUAUUUUCUAGCAAAAUAACAGGAAAAUCACAAACAAAAAAGAGCAUCCUCUUUUCCCUAACAAAAUCUGGUGAUAAUCCAACCAAAACCCAUGAUUCUAGGUCUAGAGAAGGUGGAAAGGAGGAUUAAUUAAAAGAUAAGAGAGUUGUUAUCUUGAGUCAAAGGGAAGUUGGAAAGUUGUUUAAAUAGAAGAGAAACCAAGGUUUGGAGGUCCCUUCUAGCCCCCAAUGUAUUUGGUUCAUGACCAAAUCCAGAAUUGGAACUGGAAUAUAAUUUGAAUC
rnacentral:lncRNA from 1 species